AUUUGUAUGUGUGUGUGUGAUUAGUACAAAGAGUAUUUAAUACAUGCAUGUACACACACACACACACAUGUCAAGUUUUUUAGGAAUACUGAGUUGAAAAACCCUUUGAGAAAAAGUUGAAGGUUGCUUGUGGGACUUGAACCCACACCUCCUGUAGACAUGACAAGUGUUCUGCCCCUGGACUAAAGUAAUCCUUUGAACAUCUGUAUCCAUUUCAGAAACCAUUUUUACCAGUGAGAAUUCUAUGUUGCUGACAUUAUAAGAAUUUAGAAAUUUCAAGAACAUGAAAUUCUUUUAGUUUAUACACACCCUCUGGUGCAGGCAUGGCUGUUCGGUUAAGAAGCUGUCUUUGCAACCAAGUGGUUUUGGGUUCAGUCCCACUGUGCAGCACCUUGGCCUAGAAGCAGUCAAUCAGGAUCACUUCAGCAUUUUUCUGUUCUAAGACUGCAGGGUUUGAUUUGAAGGAGAUUCGAACAGUAUCUCUAGCAGGUUUAACAAUCAUCAAGAAGCUCCAUACUGGCACAUUUUAACAGAAUAGAAUGGAGUCAAUAAAAUAAGUACCAGUUGAGCAGUGGUGUCAAUGCAAUUGAUUUACCCAACUCCCAGAAAUUGCUGGCCUUGUGCCAAAAUUUGAAACCAAGAUUAUAAGGUCAGUGAAGUAGAUUUCUUUGUUCCUAUUUGAGAAGAUUUAAAAAGACAAAGGAUUCAACACCAUUCAGAUCAGUUCUUUCCUCAUCUUAGAUGCAUUUCUCUCAGCUCACCUAACUGUAUGCAUUCCUAUUCUGUUAUAUUGUCUGAUUUCAGAUAGUCCUGGGGUUGAUUUUAUCUGUAGUACCUUUGCUUUACCUAUAACACCAACCACAAGGCAUAAUUGAAGAAUUGGCCCCUUAUCCACACCAACUAUAGAAUUUACAGGACAGAACUCCACCAUACUAUCUCUUUCCCAACUGCUAAAAGAUUGAGAAGAUGGAGAAAUUUUUCCCUAAGGAAGAUAACAGGAUGCCCCAUGCAAUGAACUUAGUGGACAGUUGGAUCCUUCCUAUUCAAAGAUAACUUAUUGAUGUAGGAAUAUUUGUGAUCAUGGAAGCAGCAAGAAAUAGUAGCCAGAUUCCCUUAAAUCACAGCCUAGUAUCUUCAAAAAUGAUAAUGUGGUCUUACAUACAAGGAGUAGGAUUGGUCAUGGGUCUUCUCAGUCAGGGAUGAUCUGGGGCUAAACAACAUCCUCGAUCAGGUCUGCUUGCAGGAUGACAGCACUGUGAAGU
rnacentral:tRNA from 1 species